AUUGAACGCUGGCGGCAGGCCUAACACAUGCAAGUCGAGCGGCAGCGGGACCUUCGGGUCGCCGGCGAGCGGCGGACGGGUGAGUAAUGCCUAGGAAUCUGCCUGUUAGUGGGGGAUAACGCGGGGAAACUCGCGCUAAUACCGCAUACGUCCUACGGGAGAAAGUGGGGGACCCUCGGGCCUCACGCGAACAGAUGAGCCUAGGUCGGAUUAGCUAGUUGGUGGGGUAAAGGCCCACCAAGGCGACGAUCCGUAACUGGUCUGAGAGGAUGAUCAGUCACACUGGAACUGAGACACGGUCCAGACUCCUACGGGAGGCAGCAGUGGGGAAUAUUGGACAAUGGGCGAAAGCCUGAUCCAGCCAUGCCGCGUGUGUGAAGAAGGUCUUCGGAUUGUAAAGCACUUUAAGUUGGGAGGAAGGGCGCUCGGUGAAUACCCAGGCGUCUUGACGUUACCGACAGAAUAAGCACCGGCUAACUUCGUGCCAGCCGCCGCCGUAAUAC
rnacentral:rRNA from 1 species